CCAUGCCGCGUGAGUGAAGAAGGCCUUCGGGUGUAAAGCUCUUUCGGCCGGGAAGAAAUCGUAUCAGCUAAUACCUGGUGCGGAUGACGGUACCGGCAUAAGAAGCACCGGCUAACUACGUGCCAGCAGCCGCGGUAAUACGUAGGGUGCGAGCGUUAAUCGGAAUUACUGGGCGUAAAGCGUGCGCAGGCGGUUUUGUAAGACAGGCGUGAAAUCCCCGGGCUCAACCUGGGAACUGCGUUUGUGACUGCAAGGCUAGAGUACGGCAGAGGGGGGUGGAAUUCCACGUGUAGCAGUGAAAUGCGUAGAGAUGUGGAGGAACACCAAUGGCGAAGGCAGCCCCCUGGGUCGAUACUGACGCUCAUGCACGAAAGCGUGGGUAGCAAACAGGAUUAGAUACCCUGGUAGUCCACGCCCUAAACGAUGUCAACUAGGUGUUGGGUGGGUAAAACCAUUUAGUACCGGAGCUAACGCGUGAAGUUGACCGCCUGGGGAGUACGGCCGCAAGGUUAAAACUCAAAGGAAUUGACGGG
rnacentral:rRNA from 1 species